ACGGAGGGGCGCUUUUAUUAGACUAAAACCAAACGGCUCGGCCGUUCCACUGGUGAAUCUGAAUAACUUUGAGCGGAUCGCACGGCCUCGUGCCGGCGACGUGUCCUUCCAAGGUGUGCCCUAUCAACUGUCGACUGUGGCAUAGACGCCCACAGUGGUUUUGACGGGUAACGGGGAAUUAGGGUUCGAUUCCGGAGAGGGAGCCUGAGAAACGGCUACCACUUCUAAGGAAGGCAGCAGGCACGCAAAUUACCCACUGGCCGAAGGCCGAGGUAGUGACGAAAAAUAACGAUACCAGACUCAUCCGAGGCCUGGUAAUCGGAAUGAGCACACUUUAAAUCCUUUAGCGAGGAACCAUUGGAGGGCAAGUCUGGUGCCAGCAGCCGCGGUAAUUCCAGCUCCAAUAGCGUAUAUAAAAGUUGUUGCGGUUAAAAAGCUCGUAGUUGGAUCUCGGCUUGCAGGGGGCGGUCCGUUAUUUGACGCGACUGCCCCAUUUGCGAGUGUUUCUUCGGCGGAACUCCCGGGGUGCUCUUCGCCGAGUGUCCCGUUGGGGGCCGCCAGGUUUACUUUGAAAAAAUUAGAGUGCUCCAAGCAGGCUCGACACGCCUGAAUAUUCGUGCAUGGAAUAAUGGAAUAGGACGUCGUUCCUGUUUUGUUGGUUUUAGGGAAUCGACGUAAUGAUUUAUAGGGACAGCCGGGGGCAUUAGUAUUCAGACGACAGAGGUGAAAUUCUUGGACCGUCUGGCGACUCACUGCUGCGAAAGCGUUUGCCAAGUAUGUUUUCAUUAAUCAAGAACGAAAGUGAGAGGUUCGAAGGCGAUCAGAUACCGCCCUAGUUCUAACCAUAAACGAUGCCAGCUAGCGAUCCGCAGACGUUUUAUUUGUAGGCUCUGCGGGAAGCUUCCGGGAAACCAAAGCCUUUGGGUUCCGGGGGAAGUAUGGUUGCAAA
rnacentral:rRNA from 1 species